rnacentral:rRNA from 1 species
AACGGCUACCACAUCCAAGGAUGGCAGCAGGCGCGCAAAUUACCCAAUCCCGACACGGGGAGGUAGUGACAAUAAAUAACAAGCCAGGGCCCUUCCGGGUUUUGGCAUUGGAAUGAGUACAAUGUAAACACCUUAACGAGGAACAAUUGGAGGACAAGUCUGGUGCCAGCACCCGCGGUAAUUCCAGCUCCAAUAGCGUAUAUUAAAGUUGUUGCAGUUAAAAAGCUCGUAGUUGAAAUUGGGCGUGGCUGGCCGGUCCGCCUCACGGUGUGCACUGGUCUCGGCCGCGCUUUCCUCUUGGGCCGCCCGAGAGCGCUUGAUUGUGCGCUCGGGACGGCUCAGGACUUUUACUUUGAAAAAAUUAGAGUGUUCAAAGCAGGCAUUUGCUCGGAUACAUUAGCAUGGAAUAAUAGAAUAGGACGUCGAUCCUAUUUUGUUGGUUUCUAGGACCGCCGUAAUGAUUAAUAGGGAUAGUUGGGGGCAUUAGUAUUCAAUUGUCAGAGGUGAAAUUCUUGGAUUUAUUGAAGACUAACUACUGCGAAAGCAUUUGCCAAGGAUGUUUUCAUUAAUCAAGAACGAAAGUUAGGGGAUCGAAGACGAUUAGAUACCGUCGUAGUCUUAACCAUAAACUAUGCCGACUAGGGAUCGGGCGCAGUCUCAAACGACUCGCUCGGCACCUUAAGAGAAAUCAAAGUUUUUGGGUUCUGGGGGGAGUAUGGUCGCAAGGCUGAAA